CUCUCUCUCUCUCUCUCUCUCGCCCUAAUUCCUCCGCCCUCGCCUCUUCGUGCCCGCCUCCCCAAACCCUCUACCCCUCCACCCUCAAACUCCGGCCCCACGACAACCCUCUCAGAACCCUCAUCCCCUCCGCCACUGCGGCAACUGCUCUCUCCCUCGCUGCCCUCCUCAGCCGCCUUCUCAAGCCAUCCCUCGCCACCGCCCCUAUCUCUCAGUCCGAGACCCUCCCGGAAUCACUCACCGACGAUGAGAAAGUCCGCGCACUCGAAGACCACCUCACCUCUGAUCCAGACGGCAAAACUCCCUACUCUUCUGCCUCACCUCCGGCGUGAGAAAGGGUUAGGGUUCCGGUGAGCUACAUCAAUGAGGGUGAAGAAACAGAAGAGACACCGCAAGGCGGAGAGGUUCUACUCAGUGCGCUUUGGAUUCUGUGAACCCUACAAGGUCCUCUGUGAUGGUACCUUCGUUCACCACCUCCUUCUCCAUAGCCUCGUUCCUACGGACAACGCUCUCCAGCAUCUCCUCGGAGCCCGUGUGCUACUUUUCUCCUCUCGCUGAGUCGUUGCUGAGCUCCAAGUGCUUGGUGAAUCCCACUCUGAAGCUCUCAAUGCCGCUCGCCAGCUUGUCACCAUGAGAUGAGACCAUGAGAAGAGGGUGAGCGCCACUGCGUGCAUAGAAUCGAUCAUCGGAAAGUCGAAUCUCAAGCACUUCUUUGUGCCCACGCAGGACGCUAAUCUUCGAAUGAUUUCUUGUUGUCAUUAUUUAGACCUCUUUGAUUUUUUUUUUUAUGUUAAUUGCAGAUUUUGGUGGAACUAUUCUUUUGAUUACCAUAUAGUUUUUUUGGGUGCUCUUAAGCAUUCAUUCGGGACAUGCUAAGCAUUGGUGGAAGGGUGCAUGG